rnacentral:rRNA from 1 species
AAUCAACGCUGGCGGCGUGCCUCAGACAUGCAAGUCGAACGCGAAAGUCCCCUUCGGGGGAUGAGUAGAGUGGCGCACGGGUGAGUAACACGUAGGUAAUCUACCUUCGGGUGGGGAAUAACAACCGGAAACGGUUGCUAAUACCGCAUAAUGCAGCGGCACCUAAUGGUGACAGUUGUUAAAGCGGGGGAUCGCAAGACCUCGCGCCUGAAGAGGAGCCUGCGGCGGAUUAGCUAGUUGGCAGGGUAACGGCCUACCAAGGCGACGAUCCGUAGCCGGCCUGAGAGGGCGGUCGGCCACACUGACACUGACAUACGGGUCAGACUCCUACGGGAGGCAGCAGUCGGGAAUUUUGGGCAAUGGGCGAAAGCCUGACCCAGCAACGCCGCGUGAAGGAUGAAAUCCCUCGGGAUGUAAACUUCGCAAGAACGGGGAGAAUAAGCCGGUGUCAACACCACCGGCGAUGACGGUACCGUUUGUAAGCUCCGGCUAACUCCGUGCCAGCAGCCGCGGUAAUAC